UCCUCCUUUUUCUCUCUUUUUUCGGAUUUACUGGGCGUAAAGCGCAUGUAGGCGGAUAUUUAAGUCAGAGGUGAAAUCCCAGGGCUCAACCCUGGAACUGCCUUUGAUACUGGAUGUCUUGAGUAUGGAAGAGGUGAGUGGAAUUCCGAGUGUAGAGGUAAAAUUCGUAGAUAUUCGGAGGAACACCAGUGGCGAAGGCGGCUCACUGGUCCAUUACUGACGCUGAGGUGCGAAAGCGUGGGGAGCAAACA
rnacentral:rRNA from 1 species